UUUAAGUGUAAUUAUAGGUUUCUAUUUCUAACGUUUGAUCUAUCAUCUUAUUUGAAAUUCUUUUAUAUUAGUUUUUUAUUAGAUAAUAAAACUGAAUAGUACUUUGUGCGUGACUUAUUUUAAAAAAAUUCUUAUAUUUUUUUCAAAUAUGUUACGACAAACAUUGAACACGGAAAUUCAAAACUGCACUUAAA
rnacentral:pre_miRNA from 1 species